rnacentral:misc_RNA from 1 species
GAUAUUAGUUGAAGCUUUUCGCUCAAUUAUUGCAGUUGAGUUUGUGCAAAAGGAUGCUUGGCCUGAGCUUGUGCCUGAGCUAAGGUCGUUCAUUCAGCGCAGUGAUCUGAUUGAUAAGAAUCCGAAUUCUGAAUGGAAAACCAUCAACACUUUAACCAUUCUUCACUCACUGAUUAGACCCUUCCAGUACUUUUUGAAUCCAAAACUUGUGAAGGAGCCAG